UACGGAGGGGGCUAGCGUUGUUCGGAAUUACUGGGCGUAAAGGGCGCGCAGGCGGCUGCUCAAGUCAGGCGUGAAAGGCCUGGGCUCAACCCGGGAAUUGCGCUUGAGACUGGGCUGGCUUGAGUGCGGGAGAGGAUGGUGGAAUUCCCAGUGUAGAGGUGAAAUUCGUAGAUACUGGGAAGAACACCGGUGGCGAAGGCGGCCAUCUGGACCGCAACUGACGCUGAGGCGCGAAAGCGUGGGGAGCAAACAGG
rnacentral:rRNA from 1 species